CCUAUGGGGGGCAGCAGGCGCGAAACCUUUACAAUGCGGGCAACCGUGAUAAGGGAACCUCGAGUGCCUGUAAACGCAGGCUGUUCAGGUGUUUAAAACGCACCUGGAGAAAGGGCGGGCUUAGAGCGGUCGUAGCCGGGUUGUUAAGUCUCUUGGGAAAUCUGGCGGCUUAACCGUCAGGCGUCUAAGGGAUACUGGCAAUCUUGGAACCGGGAGAGGUGAGGGGUACUUCGGGGGUAGGGGUGAAAUCCUGUAAUCCUCGAGGGACCACCUGUGGCGAAGGCGCCUCACCAGAACGGCUUCGACAGUGAGGGACGAAAGCUGGGGGAGCAAACCGGAUUAGAUACCCGCGUAGUCC
rnacentral:rRNA from 1 species